rnacentral:rRNA from 1 species
AUUGAACGCUGGCGGCAUGCCUUACACAUGCAAGUCGAACGGUAACGGGCCUUCGGGUGCCGACGAGUGGCGAACGGGUGAGUAAUACAUCGGAACGUGCCCGAUCGUGGGGGAUAACGAGGCGAAAGCUUUGCUAAUACCUCAUACGAUCUACGGAUGAAAGCAGGGGACCGCAAGGCUUUGCGCGGGCGGAGCGGCCGAUGGUAGAUUAGGUAGUUGGUGGGAUAAAAGCUUACCAAGCCGACGAUCUGUAGCUGGUCUGAGAGGAUGAUCAGCCACACUGGGACUGAGACACGGCCCAGACUCCUACGGGAGGCAGCAGUGGGGAAUUUUGGACAAUGGGCGCAAGCCUGAUCCAGCCAUGCCGCGUGCAGGAUGAAGGCCUUCGGGUUGUAAACUGCUUUUGUACGGAACGAAAAGCCUUCUUUUAAUACAGGAGGGUCAUGACGGUACCGUAAGAAUAAGCACCGGCUAACUACGUG